GACGAACGCUGGCGGCGCGCUUAACACAUGCCAGUCGAACGGAAAGGCCUGCUUUCCCUUGUGGAUUGCGGGUACUCGAGUGGCGAACGGGUGAGUAACACGUGAGUGAUCUGCCCCCAACUUGGGUAUAAGCCUGGGAAACUGGGUCUAAUUCCCGAUAGGACUGCAGGGUGGUGCCUGUGGUGGAAAACGAUUUUCUAGUGGUUGGGGAUGAGCUCGCGGCCUAUCAGCUUGUUGGUGGGGUAAUGGCCUACCAAGGCGGCGACGGGUAGCCGGCCUGAGAGGGUGGACGGCCACAUUGGGACUGAGAUACGGCCCAGACUCCUACGGGAGGCAGCAGUGGGGAAUAUUGCACAAUGGGCGGAAGCCUGAUGCAGCGACGCCGCGUGGGGGAUGACGGCCUUCGGGUUGUAAACUCCUUUCGACCGCGAGGAAGCCACCUGGUUGGAAGGGUGGUGACGGUAGUGGUAGAAGAGGCACCGGCUAACUACGUG
rnacentral:rRNA from 1 species